UGCCAGCCGCCGCGGUAAAACCAGCACCUCAAGUGGUCAGGAUGAUUAUUGGGCCUAAAGCAUCCGUAGCCGGCUCUGUAAGUUUUCGGUUAAAUCUGGUAGCUCAACUAUCAAGCUGCUGAAGAAACCACUAGUCUUGGGAUAUGAAGAGGUAAACGGUACUAACAGGGGAGCGGUGAAAUGUUUUGAGCCUGUUAGGACCAUCUGUGGCGAAGGCGGUUUACUGGGAUUAGUCCGACGGUCAUGUACGAAAGCCAGGGGAGCGAAACGGAUUAGAUA
rnacentral:rRNA from 1 species